ACGGUUACCUUGUUACGACUUCACCCCAGUUACCGGGCCUGCCUUCGACAGCUCCUCCCUUGCGGUUAGGCCACUGGCUUCGGGCAUUCCUGGCUCCCAUGGUGUGACGGGCGGUGUGUACAAGACCCGGGAACGUAUUCACCGCAACAUUCUGAUUUGCGAUUACUAGCGAUUCCAGCUUCAUACAGCCGGGUUGCAGGCUGUAAUCCGAACUGGGACGUCUUUUUUGUGGUCUGCUCCCCCUCGCAAGUUUGCUUCACUCUGUUGACGCCAUUGUAGCACGUGUGUAGCCCAGCCCAUAAGGGGCAUGAUGAUUUGACGUCGUCCCCGCCUUCCUCCGGGUUAUCCCCGGCAGUCCCUGCAGAGUGCCCGGCUUUACCGCUGGCUACUGCAAGCAAGGGUUGCGCUCGUUGCGGGACUUAAC
rnacentral:rRNA from 1 species